rnacentral:rRNA from 1 species
GACGAACGCUGGCGGCGUGCCUAAUACAUGCAAGUCGAGCGAAGUUGAUGAGGUGCUUGCACCUCUGAUGCUUAGCGGCGGACGGGUGAGUAACACGUAGGUAACCUGCCUGUAAGACUGGGAUAACCCACGGAAACGUGAGCUAAUACCGGAUAGGCGAGACUCCCGCAUGGGAGAUUCGAGAAAGGCGGCGCAAGCUGCCACUUACAGAUGGACCUGCGGCGCAUUAGCUAGUUGGUGAGGUAACGGCUCACCAAGGCGACGAUGCGUAGCCGACCUGAGAGGGUGAUCGGCCACACUGGGACUGAGACACGGCCCAGACUCCUACGGGAGGCAGCAGUAGGGAAUCUUCCGCAAUGGACGAAAGUCUGACGGAGCAACGCCGCGUGAGUGAUGAAGGCCUUCGGGUCGUAAAGCUCUGUUGCCAGGGAAGAACGGCCGAGAGAGUAACUGCUCUCGGAGUGACGGUACCUGAGAAGAAAGCCCCGGCUAACUACGUGCCAGCAGCCGCGGUAAAAC